UACGUAGGGCGCAAGCGUUGUCCGGAAUUAUUGGGCGUAAAGAGCUCGUAGGCGGUUUGUCGCGUCUGCCGUGAAAACCCGAGGCUUAACCUCGUGGCUUGCGGUGGAUACGGGCAGACUAGAGGUAGGUAGGGGAGAAUGGAAUUCCCGGUGUAGCGGUGAAAUGCGCAGAUAUCGGGAGGAACACCGGGUGGCGAAGGCGGUUCUCUGGGCCUUACCUGACGCUGAGGAGCGAAAGCGUGGGGAGCGAACAGG
rnacentral:rRNA from 1 species